AGGCAUCGCCAGGCAUUCUUAUCCGAUCAAAAACUUUUUCACAAAUAUUUUCUGCAACGAAAAUUUGCAAAAUAUGUUUCAUUCUGAGUUUUCAAGCUUUGAGGAAGGAGGGUGCAGUACUUUAGCAUACAGCAGAGGAAAUGAGGAUCUUAAUACUUCUCAUUAUCUUGCAAAUUGUAUCUUUUACAGCCUCACAAGUGAAUGUUUGUUCUGGACGGUGUCCACGUAAUUCUCGCUGUAACUCAGUUGGAAACUGUUAUUGCAAUCGUUACUUUACCUGGAGUAAUGGUAGUUGCGUUGCAGAUCGGUCAGCGGUUUUCAGCGGAACUGGACUUACUGUAAGUUCCGCCCAUUGUGGUCCUACUUAUAAGUGUGUUGGUAAAGCACGUUGCGAACGUUUUCAAAGGCGCAAUCCUGCCUAUGAUCCGUCGCGUGAUCAGGAAAAUCGAGUCCGAAAUCGAGACCAAAAUCGAGACCAAAAUCGAGACCGAAAUCGAGACCGAAAUCGGGACCGAAAUCGGGACCGUAAUCGAGACCGUAAUCGACAAAGAAGAUACCUGUAUAGUUAUGCUUGUAUUUGCCCACAUGGACUUGAAACAUACAUCACUGGAAGCAGUGGGAACUACAGUAAAGGAUGCACUCUGCCUAGACCAGUUUUAUCAAAUGAAGAUAGAUGCAGACUGUGUCAUCCUCAGUUUGCAGUUUGUGUACAAAGACGCUACUGUCGAUGUAAUAGAGGAUAUGUUGGAAGUGGGGAAACAUGCACCAGAAUACAUGUUUCAACGGAACCUCCGUUCUAUCACACCGGAAACAUAUGUCCAAGGCCUUGUGUACGUAAUGCCAUCUGUAACUCCCAGAGAGUUUGCGUAUGUAGGCGAUACUUUACUGGGAAUGGAUACAGUGGAUGCGUUGCAGAUCGUGCAGCGGUUUACAGCGGACCUCAAAACACCUCAGUAAAAUGUGGAAACGAUAUUUUUUUCGGUUCUUAUCGAUGUAUUGGAAAAGCCUAUUGUAGGACGAUCGUAAGUUACGAACGUGAACCUAAACGUCCUACCUACGAUGGCAUGGGAAACGUUGUAAGACGCAAGAAAUACUCCUAUAGAUGUGUGUGUCCAAUUGGACUUGUGAGUUACACCAUUGGAGAAUAUAUUGGAUGUACUCUAUCUAAGUCAAUCUUGACCCAAGAGGACAUAUGUAGAAUGUGUGAUCCUGUAAAUGGAAUUUGUGAAAGAACAGCGCGCGGUAAUCGCUGCCGUUGUAUUGGUGGCUAUGUUGGAACUGGGGAAACAUGCACCAGAAUACGUGUUGAAACAUGUAGCCCGAGGUGCCAUCCAACAUUAGCAAGAUGCAUUUAUUCAUCGCGCCAAUACAUUUGUCUGUGUAAUUCUGGGUAUACUGGGGAUGGUGUUGCUUGUUAUGCAACAACUUCUACAGUUGCUUCAACAUGUCAACAAAGAUGUCACCCAACGUUGGCAACUUGUAUUUACAACCCCACAACCCGCCAAUACAGAUGUCAAUGUAUUGCUGGGUAUAUUGGAAAUGGUGUUACUUGUUAUGCAGCCAGUACUACAGUUGCUCCAACAUGUCAACAAAGAUGUCACUCAAUGUUGGCAACUUGUAUUUACAACCCCACAACCCGCCAAUACAGAUGUCAAUGUAUUGCUGGGUAUUCUGGGAGUGGUGUUGCUUGUUAUGCAACAACUUCUACAGUUGCUCCAACAUGUCAACAAAGAUGUCACCCAACGUUGGCAACUUGUAUUUACAACCCCACAACCCGCCAAUACAGAUGUCAAUGUAUUGCUGGGUAUACUGGGAAUGGUGUUGCUUGUUAUGCAAUAACCACUACAGUUGCCCCAACAUGUCAACAAAGCUGUCACCCAACAUUGGCAACUUGUAUUUACAAACCCACAANCCGGCAAUACAGAUGUCAAUGUAUUGCUGGGUAUACUGGGAAUGGUGUUACUUGUUAUGCAGCACGUACUACAGUUGCCCCAACCUGUCAACAAAACUGUCACCCAACAUUGGCAACUUGUAUUUACAACCCCACAACCCGCCAAUACAGAUGUCAAUGUAUUGCUGGGUAUUCUGGGAAUGGUGUUACUUGUUAUGCAGCACGUACUACAGUUGCUCCAACAUGUCAACAAAGAUGUCACCCAACGUUGGCAACUUGUAUUUACAACCCCCUUUUCUUCCAAUACAGAUGUCAAUGUAUUGCUGGGUAUAUUGGGGAUGGUGUCGCUUGUUAUGCAACAACCACUACAGUUGCCCCAACAUGUCAACAAAGCUGUCACCCAACGUUGGCAACUUGUAUUUACAACCCCACAACCCGCCAAUACAGAUGUCAAUGUAUUGCUGGGUAUACUGGAAAUGGUGUUACUUGUUAUGCAGCACGUACUACAGUUGCUCCAACAUGUCAACAAAGAUGUCACUCAAUGUUGGCAACUUGUAUUUACAACCCCACAACCCGCCAAUACAGAUGUCAAUGUAUUGCUGGGUAUUUGGGAAUGGUGUUGCUUGUUAUGCAACAACUUCUACAGUUGCCCCAACAUGUCAACAAAGCUGUCACCCAACAUUGGCAACUUGUAUUUACAACCCCACAACCCGCCAAUACAGAUGUCAAUGUAUUGCUGGGUAUAUUGGGAAUGGUGUUACUUGUUAUGCAGCACGUACUACAGUUGCUCCAACAUGUCAACAAAGAUGUCACCCAACGUUGGCAACUUGUAUUUACAACCCCACAACCCGCCAAUACAGAUGUCAAUGUAUUGCUGGGUAUACUGGGAAUGGUGUCACUUGUAGUUUACCAACAAAUGCUGCUCCAAUAGUUGUUCCAAGAUGUCGCAAUGUUUGCCAUCGAGAUGCUGAUUGCGUGCAAGUUAAUGGACAGGGAGUGUGUAGAUGCAAACAGAACUUCCGUGGUGAUGGUGUCAACUUAUGCUCAAGAAUCAGCAACCAAUGUUUGAAUUGCCAUUCACAUGCUACAUGUAGACAGAUACAAAGAGUAUUCAGUUGUGUGUGUAAUGAGAACUACAUUGGUGAUGGUGUCAAUUAUUGUACAGCAGUAAUUGCAGGAUAACUUUUGUACAACUGCAGUGUUUAUCUAACAUAUCAUCAUUGCUUCUGGUAAUCAAUGCAAAGUUUUGACUUUUUUCAUUUUCAAGAUUUAGUAAUGGUGUAUUUACAUUUAUAGUUACACACAAAGUUACAUUCACGGUAACUCGUAAACGGCACAAGGUGUAUGAAACACCCGUGUCAUAUCAACUGUCAUUUUCUAGCCACAUGAGGAUAAAGCAAGCCUAACAUGCAAUCAUUCAUUAAUCUUAAUUAUGAGUAUAUUAUGAGUUUAAUAAAAAACAUUUGAC